AAAUUGUCACCAAAAUUUUAAGUACAAAACCAAUUUUAGAAAAAUUAUUUUAAAAAAGAUAUAAAAAAAUUUACAAAAUUUAAAACUCGGGAUGUCGUGUGUACCAUAUUAUGGGGGCUGUGGUUAUGGCGGCUAUGGGGGUUAUGGCGGCUAUGGCGGAUAUGGCGGCUAUGGGGGUUAUGGCGGUUAUGGUGGCUAUGGAGGUUAUGGCGGGUGUUAUGGAUAUCGAUAUCCAUAUAGGACUUGGUCUCGAAGAUCCAGAUAUUAUGCGUAUUCACCCAUGUGUUAUGGAGUAGACUCUUGUUACAAACGUGGAUACUCUUCGUAUUGUUAUUGUGAUCCUUGUUCAACUGGUUGUGGAUACGGUGGUGGCUGCGGUUAUUCACCUUAUCAUGGAUAUGGGCAUGGAUAUGGUGGUUAUGGGGGAUGCUGUUGAAUCAACAGCCAAUACCAGUUGGUGUGUAAUCGAUAUUUACAGGUACCGAUGUUUUAAAUCUAUACAAAAAUUUUUCUUUGGAAGAGAAGAUACUAAGUCAUAUUUCAAGAUACAUGCCCCUUAUCUUUUAAGUUUAUCCAUUCUCGCAGUUUAUCAAAUGUGCUAUUUUGUUAUGUGUAAUUGUACCAUAAGCAAAAAAAAGUCGUUAAAAAAAUUGAAGGUAGGCGUAAAUUGUCACGAUAUUCACUGACGACGUGCCGUAUUUUUUUUCAUAAAUGCUAU